GACGAACGCUGGCGGCGUGCUUAACACAUGCAAGUCGAACGGAAAGGCCCUGCUUUUGUGGGGUGCUCGAGUGGCGAACGGGUGAGUAACACGUGAGUAACCUGCCCUUGACUUUGGGAUAACUUCAGGAAACUGGGGCUAAUACCGGAUAGGAGCUCCUGCUGCGUGGUGGGGGUUGGAAAGUUUCGGCGGUUGGGGAUGGACUCGCGGCUUAUCAGCUUGUUGGUGGGGUAGUGGCUUACCAAGGCUUUGACGGGUAGCCGGCCUGAGAGGGUGACCGGCCACAUUGGGACUGAGAUACGGCCCAGACUCCUACGGGAGGCAGCAGUGGGGAAUAUUGCACAAUGGGCGGAAGCCUGAUGCAGCAACGCCGCGUGCGGGAUGACGGCCUUCGGGUUGUAAACCGCUUUCGCCUGUGACGAAGCGUGAGUGACGGGAAUGGGUAAAGAAGCACCGGCUAACUACGUG
rnacentral:rRNA from 1 species